rnacentral:rRNA from 1 species
GUAGGGAAUAUUGGGCAAUGGAGGCAACUCUGACCCAGCCAUGCCGCGUGCAGGAUGACGGCCCUCUGGGUUGUAAACUGCUUUUAUACGGGAAGAAAAAAUACUACGUGUAGUAUACUGACGGUACCGUAAGAAUAAGGAUCGGCUAACUCCGUGCCAGCAGCCGCGGUAAUACGGAGGAUCCAAGCGUUGUCCCGAUUUAUUGGGUUUAAAGGGUGCGUAGGCGGCUCUUUAAGUCAGUGGUGAAAGCCUGCAGCUUAACUGUAGAAGUGCCAUUGAAACUGAAGAUCUUGAAUGUGGUUAAAGUAGGCGGAAUGGAUCAUGUAGCGGUGAAAUGCUUAGAUAUGAUACAGAACACCGAUAGCGAAGGCAGCUUGCUGAACCAUUAUUGACGCUGAGGCACGAAAGCGUGGGGAGCGAACAGGAUUAGAAACCCGGGUAGUCC